AUAGAGUUUGGAGAUUCAGUGCAUAACAGAAAUAACUCAUAACAACAUAACUCUUACAUUAUAUUGGCUAAACAUACAGAAAUUUGGUAUAAGUGAAAGAGAUGGUUCAUCACACAAUUUGAAUUUGUUGAAUCUAGUCUAUUUUUAUUCAACACUACUUCCAGAUGCCCAGAUGUCGCCUACACAUAUCAAUGCUUCCUAGUAUUCCUAACACUUGCAGUGAACACAAGACCCUUCAUUGUUAAAUUAUAGUGACCGCAUAGCCCAAACAAAGGGGAAGCAUUUGUAUGUUAGCAACAACCAUGUUAUACAAACACACCAUGAUACAGUAAAUAAAUUAAAUCAAGAAAACUGAAGAAGACUUUGGAUGAAGAAUUAUGGUUUUCAUUGGAUUUAUCCUUAAACUAACAAAGGCCAAUGCUUAUGAACAGCAGUGAUUCAUAACAUUGUUAGCUUUUGACUAGAUUAAAGAACUUGUUUGAUACUUUAGGAAAAUAAUAAUAAAAUUAAUUAUUUGCCUUCAUGUUAGUCAUUGAGCUUUAGUGGUACUGGGAAGCAGAAUUUGUGAGCUUCAUAUUUAAUGGACUAUUUAAUGAGGCCUAUAUUUAGCGUCAAGUUGCAGUUUACAUCCACGUCUGUCCAGACUCAUACAAAGUGUGUAAUGAAGAUUAUGAGAACAGGGAAUUUAAUAAAUUGUAUUAGGUGUAUUUUCUCAUGUUUUCAUUAUGACCAAAAAGCCUUAAGUCUACGUGAACGUUUGUGCCAAGAAAUUCUUGUCCGGACGGGUGAACAACCCAAAAACAUAACAAGAAAAAAAAAUGAGAGGAAAGUCUCAAAUUAUAUAAACAGAUUUUGUGUGGCCGAAAAAUUAUUUUUCCGCUUCUUUUUUCUUGUUAACCUCUUCCUGUUGGGGGAUCUUCGGCCCACAGGUUGAGAAGACAAGUAUACUGUAUCUCUGCCAAGAUUAUCGUCAAAGCCAUUGUGUUCUACUUCCACUACCCUCAGACCUUUCACCAAGUUCCUUCUUGAAUACUGAUACGUGGAUUAACAUGAGAUACAAGAGCAGAGCUUUGACACAGUCACUUUAAAUGUCUUCUCUUGAAAAAAAAUUCUCACUGAAUCAUUCUCUGUCUAAAAUAUGAACAGCUGCAGAACAUCCUUGAGCUUUAGUGCGCGAAAAAAAAAGGGCUGUCGAGUAUGUUGCACAGGACAGCGAGCAAAAUUUCCAGUUAUGCACCUCUACUGUAGGUCAAAUCCUUUUUGUAUCAUCAUGAGGAUACAGCAAAAGCUGAACUGAAUUACAAACUAAACAAUGUCAGUAUUUCCACAUAUUGCACAUACUGAAAGACAAAGUUCAUGUUUACCCAGUGAUUACUAAUUAAAAAGUCUCAGUUCUCAAGUCUGAGCUUCCACUUUCCAUCAGUCUAUGCGAAAGAAAACUUGUGGCUUUUCGAGCGUCGCUGCUGAAAAUAUGCGUGUUAAGUCUAGAGCUCAUUCAAACCACAUUCUUCAUCGCUGUCCAAACAAAACAGGUUCUGUAGGACUGGAGGAGAUCAGAGAGCAAGCCCUUCUGGAUGGUGGCGUUCCCACUCAGGGUCUCCUUGUCCAGGAUGAGCAGGAAGCGGUGGAGCUCCAUCAGGAGCUGGUCCAGCACUGGAAGUACAGGCAGAGAAGAGACUCUCAGAGAGAUUGACUCAGAUGGCCUUUUGGAUUGGGGGACCCUGGGAAACGAAGUCAGCUGACAGGACAGGGAGGUCUGUAGCAGGCCGUCUCUGUGGGCUACGGGUUGGCCAGACGCCCACUGCACAUCCAGUGAGUGGCCGCAGUCUCCGCAGCAUAAACAAUUCACUUCUGUAGAAUGGCCAAAAAGAAUCUGAGAGACCAACAGCUGGCCAGAGUACUACAAUGUUUUCUAAUUGUGGCUAUUAAAACACAGUAAAAGGGGCAAGUAAGAAU